UACGGAGGAUGCGAGCGUUAUCCGGAUUUAUUGGGUUUAAAGGGUGCGUAGGCGGACGCUUAAGUCAGCGGUAAAAUUGCGGGGCUCAACCUCGUCGAGCCGUUGAAACUGGGUGCCUUGAGUGGGCGAGAAGUACGCGGAAUGCGUGGUGUAGCGGUGAAAUGCAUAGAUAUCACGCAGAACUCCGAUUGCGAAGGCAGCGUACCGACGCCCAACUGACGCUGAAGCACGAAGGCGUGGGUAUCGAACAGG
rnacentral:rRNA from 1 species